UAGGAAGCAAAAAAUUUUCUACUGAGUCACUAGGGGUGGUAUUCUCAUUUUCUCCCCUUAAUUCCUGGAAUCUUGGAUCCUAGCUAUGAGAGAAACUGUACCAUGGAGUGGAUGCUGAUUCAAAGGAUAUACUACUGCCUUCUGAGAAACCCUGUCCCAGCCUUCUAGGCUGCUGCCACCUAAUUGGUGCUGUAACUGUGUCUUUAAAAGGCCAUUCCAUCUUUUUAAAAUCAGGACAGCUGCUUCAGGAUGGUAUAAAACAUGGUAAGACCAGUGGAUUCCAUGGGCCCACUGUCACAUUUCUGUGGCUGUGAAAUCUACCUAGUGACCUGAAGAAGGAAAAAUUUAAUUCCACUAUGAUUUAAACAAAGAUACAAGACAACAAAAGGAAAAGGAACAUCCUGGUACUUGCCAGCAAACUUAAGAAAGGAAAAAUGAGCAAUGUGUUUCCAGACUCCUGAGUGCCUGUGUGUAAAUACACACCCAUCUCUUGUUCCAGAGGUAGCCAGGAUUCUGAAGGUUGUGGUGAUGUCUCCGGUGGUUUCUUCCUUUAACCGGAUAUAAAAGGAAUGUGUUUGAAUUUCAUAUGGACAGAUUUAUAGGAUAUUCUUCUGAUCAUUCUUAUCUAAUUUAAUUUUCUUGAAGUCAAAUGUAAAGG